rnacentral:rRNA from 2 species
GCUGGCGGCGUGCCUAAUACAUGCAAGUCGAACGAACUCUGGUAUUGAUUGGUGCUUGCAUCAUGAUUUACAUUUGAGUGAGUGGCGAACUGGUGAGUAACACGUGGGAAACCUGCCCAGAAGCGGGGGAUAACACCUGGAAACAGAUGCUAAUACCGCAUAACAACUUGGACCGCAUGGUCCGAGUUUGAAAGAUGGCUUCGGCUAUCACUUUUGGAUGGUCCCGCGGCGUAUUAGCUAGAUGGUGGGGUAACGGCUCACCAUGGCAAUGAUACGUAGCCGACCUGAGAGGGUAAUCGGCCACAUUGGGACUGAGACACGGCCCAAACUCCUACGGGAGGCAGCAGUAGGGAAUCUUCCACAAUGGACGAAAGUCUGAUGGAGCAACGCCGCGUGAGUGAAGAAGGGUUUCGGCUCGUAAAACUCUGUUGUUAAAGAAGAACAUAUCUGAGAGUAACUGUUCAGGUAUUGACGGUAUUUAACCAGAAAGCCACGGCUAACUACGUGCCAGCAGCCGCGGUAAUACGUAGGUGGCAAGCGUUGUCCGGAUUUAUUGGGCGUAAAGCGAGCGCAGGCGGUUUUUUAAGUCUGAUGUGAAAGCCUUCGGCUCAACCGAAGAAGUGCAUCGGAAACUGGGAAACUUGAGUGCAGAAGAGGACAGUGGAACUCCAUGUGUAGCGGUGAAAUGCGUAGAUAUAUGGAAGAACACCAGUGGCGAAGGCGGCUGUACUGUCUGUAACUGACGCUGAGGCUCGAAAGUAUGGUAGCAAACA